CCGUGAUGAUUCAGGACAUUAAUUAGCCUUACUUUUCCUUCACUAAACCCUCUUUCUUUCACACAACCGCUUUUCAAUUUUGCCCUUUUGAUUAUUCUUUCACACCACACCACCACUCUCUAGUUUGUUCUUAUCUUCACCACCAAGGCAUCUCACAUUCCUCUUUGCUUUAAUCUCUCUCUCUCUCUCUCUCAAACUCAAACUCAAACUCAAAGCCAUCUACAAUACUUGCGAACUUAUCAUCACCAAAAGCCCCAAUUGUCUCUUCUGUAAACCCAAAAGGCUACAAUGGCUAAGUAUGUGUCAAUGCCUUUUGCUGCUGCUGCUGCUGCUGCUGCUGGGAUAUAUUUCCUUGACAAAAACCACAACCAACCAAAGGAACUCGGAGGUGGGAUUGGAGAAACCAUCCAACAUGUCGUACCAAAACCGAAGGUGGAGCAAAACAACACCACUCAGAUGCUAGAGUUGGCACCCCAAUUUGACGGGUUGGACUCCUUUGAAACCUUGGUGGCUCGUUAGCUCCCGUUACCCCUGCAGCUAAGCAGAGUAUGCUGGUGCUUCCUUCCAAGGAGUAUUAUUAAGUGUUCUUUAGCAGUAUAGGAAGAUAUGUCCUUACAUCUUCCACCUGUACAUAUUUCAUGAAAUAUGAUCAUCUCCUCCUCCAAUAUAGUUAGUUUUCCUGCAUCAUUACUAAGAGCAGGCAACCUAAUUUUCCUUC